rnacentral:rRNA from 1 species
AGAGUUUGAUCCUGGCUCAGGAUAAACGCUGGCGGCGUGCCUAAUGCAUGCAAGUCGAACGCGGGGCCCUUCGGGGUCUCGAGUGGCGGACGGGUGAGGAACACGUACGAGACCUGCCCUCCAGUGGGGAAUACCCACCCGAAAGGGUGGCUAAUGCCGCAUACGGCCCCUGGGGUGAAGCCUGGGGAGGAAAGCCGGACGGUGCUGGAGGAGGGGCGUGCGGCCGAUUAGCUAGUUGGUGGGGUAAGAGCCUACCAAGGCGACGAUCGGUAGCUGGUCUGAGAGGAUGGACAGCCACACUGGGACUGAGACACGGCCCAGACUCCUACGGGAGGCAGCAGCAGGGAAUCUCGCGCAAUGGGCGAAAGCCUGACGCAGCAACGCCGCGUGGGUGAGGAAGGCCUUCGGGUUGUAAAGCCCUUUUCUGGGGGACGAGGAAGGACGGUACCCCAGGAAGAAGCCACGGCUAACUACGUGCCAGCAGCCGCGGUAAGACGUAGGUGGCAAGCGUUGUCCGGAGUUAUUGGGCGUAAAGCGCGCGCAGGCGGUUCGGUAAGUCCAUGGUGAAAGCGCUCGGCUUAACUGAGCGAGGUCCGUGGAGACUGUCGGGCUGGAGGAGAGCAGAGGCGAGUGGAAUUCCGGGUGUAGUGGUGAAAUGCGUAGAGAUCCGGAGGAACACCAGUGGCGAAGGCGGCUCGCUGGGCUUGUCCUGACGCUGAGGCGCGAAAGCGUGGGGAGCGAACCGGAUUAGAUACCCGGGUAGUCC